rnacentral:rRNA from 1 species
UACGAAGGGGGCUAGCGUUAUUCGGAAUCACUGGGCGUAAAGCGCACGUAGGCGGAUUGUUAAGUCGGGGGUGAAAUCCUGAGGCUCAACCUCAGAACUGCCUUCGAUACUGGCAAUCGUCGAGUCCGGAAGAGGUUGGUGGAACAGCUAGUGUAGAGGUGAAAUUCGUAGAUAUUAGCUAGAACACCAGUGGCGAAGGCGGCCAACUGG